ACGUAGGGGGCAAGCGUUAUCCGGAUUUACUGGGUGUAAAGGGAGCGUAGACGGCAAGGCAAGUCUGAUGUGAAAACCCAGGGCUUAACCCUGGGACUGCAUUGGAAACUGUCUGGCUCGAGUGCCGGAGAGGUAAGCGGAAUUCCUAGUGUAGCGGUGAAAUGCGUAGAUAUUAGGAAGAACACCAGUGGCGAAGGCGACUUACUGGACGGUAACUGACGUUGAGGCUCGAAAGCGUGGGGAGCAAACAG
rnacentral:rRNA from 1 species